CCGCGGUCACUGCAGCAAUUAGAGAGCACUAUUCUACUAACAGAGAAGACGUGGCAGGACCCAGGGCAGUGCCAGCUAUGUGCCCAAGUAACCUGCUAGCUUCUCAAGGGGGGUUUGCCACCCCACUUGCAGAUGUGUGUCCUAACCACUGAUUCAGUGCUCUCAAUUCCAGAAUCUGAGACUGAAAUUUACUUUUUUCAAUGUUAGCACUUGAUACUGCUGUGCUGACAAAAAACCCUGGUUUUUGGAUGCUGUGUUGUCACUGAGAAAUCCUCUACCCGGGAUAGUAUACUCCACAUGACAAAGCAGUCAGGCUUAAUUAGCUGCUUUUCCAGUACUUGCUCAUUUCCUUUUGGUUCUUUUUAUGAGGAAGGAAAGGGACCGAUAUAGUUCUAAGGGUAAAAGAUCAUUUUCAUACGAAGAUUUAAUGAAGAAUUUAGAGGAAGAGGGUAAAGCAAAACAGCAAAUAUUUUUGUGUGAUUUUAGCUGUUCAAUGGGAAGCUCUAGGCAGACAUGAAUUGAAUGGAAAUGAUAAGAGUAAUUUUUGUAGGACAGAAGUUUCUCUUUUAAUUUUUUUAAGGAUUCUUGAGCAUCUGGGAGUUGUAGAAUUUUUUUUUCUUCAAAUCUUCAUAACUGAACUUCUACCAGUCCACAAAUCACAAAUUCAGGUUCCAAGCACAACUAUACUUACUUCAGAUCACUGUUAGCAGUUCCACGGGGAGAACUUUACCCAAACAGAACGCAGCGCUUCAGAACAGAGUAUUCAAGUGGGAUGAAGAAAACAAUACUGAACAGGAAGGCAGACCACAGAAAGAGAAAGGUCACUGGAUCUUGGCAUUUGUAAAAAGGAUACAUGUGAACAAUAGAAGCGCCGCGAUUAGGGAAACCUGUCCAGCCUAAUCUGUUUUUAGAAAACAGUGGUAUUUCCUUGGACACAGGACAAAGAGAACACCUGUCAGUUGUGGACUGCAGAGUCUACUUCUUGAGAUACUCUGAAUGCGUUGGUCACAAAUGCUUACGGAGGGAAUGAAAGAAUAAGGCAUAUUUUCACAACAGACAGUUAUAAACAGAAAUUUGUUUUAAUUGUAACAAGCCUGCAUUUUUUAAAAAAUCAUUUCUCGUUUCUAUCUUCAUUUUACAUUUCACAAUUUUCACUCGAAAUUUACAAGAUCCAUGAUUAAGAAGGAAAAAAAAAAGAGUCAACAAGCUAGAGGUCCCUUGCUUUAAAAUAAUUGCUGCUGCAGCAUGGCUGAGCUAGAAAAAGAGUUGUAUCUGUAAAACAAAAGUCUAAAAUAGUUACUAGUGUGGGGAAGGAAAACCCACAAAACCCAGAAAGUCACAGCCUAAUAAGUCACUAUUCUUCCUGUAGUCAACAUAUAUAGCCUCAAGGCUUCUGUCAGAUUUUAUCCCAGCUGAACUUGUGGUGUUGCAGAGUACCGAGGCAGGAGAGAAUGGCCCAUGAGACCCAAAGGGUUGGUUUAAUUUUUUUUUUUUUUAAAGCACAUUGAGUGCCAGUAUUAAAUCAGCUUCUUCAGUCAGAGCCAAAGCAGACUUCAAUCCCAUAACCUUAGUGAGAGUUCUGACCGGGAAAAGAGACUUUUUGUCUCCUCGUCUCCUCCUCUAGUUAUCUUUUGGCUAUUCAGACUCUAAGGAACUUUUGGGUGUACCCCUGUCUUUCCAAUGCAUAUAUACACACAUAUAAAUGCUUCUUUUGAGGAGACGAAUGAAAUCUAAAGAGAGCUGGAGACACAAGGAAAGAAAAAUGUCACUUCAGGAUUCAGUUACUGUUCAGAGAAAAAUAAAUAAUAAAACACAGAGAGAAGAGACUACCGUGACUGCUUUCAAAGUGAAAAUUUUCACUUUGAAAAGUCUCAAGCAGAUAAUACAAAAAUACGAAGCUAUUCUAGACUAGUCUUUAAAGCGAUCAGCUGUGCAAAGCAAUACGCAAAUCUCACUAAGUAUCAGUGAUAAAUAUCAGCUAAGUACACAGACCGCUUACGCUACACACAUCAAUAUCAAGGAGAAAAAGCUGUAGGAACAUUAAGAAACAUAAAAGAUUUGAGAUCAUAAAUUGUUUCAGGACAGAUUGGAACUGAACCAUCAGAAAUGGGAAAUGUGAGAGGAAAACGCCACAUUCUUGUGAUAUACAUGUAAAGGACAAAUGGAUUUCAGUCCUAAACAAAAUAGGGAUGAAUCAAGAUCAUGGUUUCAUUUUCCUUAUGCCAAUCCACCCAGCAAGAAAGCUGCACUCCAAGAAACAGGCUGACCUGUUCUAAAAAACAGAGCAAUUUGUGCAACCUCAUAAGCAUGAAGAAGCUUGGGAAAGGAAUGUAAUUUCUUGAGACAAUUCUCUGCACCACAUGACAUUAGAGAUUCCCUCUCCCUCUUCACCCCCCCAAGAAAUUGCUUGGGAACUCUUUCCUCACAACAUGGAAGAAAUUGGCUAGCGUGAAAAAAACCUAACACAGUUCUCUUCAGAUCUGUGAUCUUCAAAUUAAUCUGAGAUCUAUGUUAAAAAAAAAACACUUAAAAACACUUUACAACCUUUUUUAUGACAAGAGAAAAUAAUUAUUGACUACAAGAUGUGUGUAGCAGGCGUACAGGCAGCACACAGCAUUUUCUCAUUAUAUAGAAAAUACAGCAUGUGAAACACAGAAUGCAUUUCUCAUAAUAACAUAUACGAUUGCUUUGUGGGAUUUCCAGUUGAAAGAGGUGGAAAUCCAAGUCUGGAGAAAGCAAUUCAGAUCACUUCCUACUGUUGAAAAAUGAGUCCAAAUAAAUAUCAGCCAAAAUAUGCCCAGACCAACAAAUGGAAGGGAGAGCAAAGGAAGACAAACACCUCCCAAAUCCAAAUAUGCUGUGUAUGUCAUGGUAAAAGGAAAAGAAGUUGACCACAAUCUUCUCCAAGAUUUAAGAUACUCCACAGUUUCUCCACAGAAACUUAAGAUAAGUUCCCAGUAAAUCUGUGCCUUUACUUUGGACUGGUAUUAGUCUUUGUGUAUUAAAUUACGGCUGUCACAUUUGAUAUGCAAAAGCCACCUCAGACAAAUUGCUAAAAUACAUAGAUUAAUCUGUGCAUACAAAGAGGUUCUAAGGCCAAUUAACAAGUCUGUAAUAAACGAGCAAGGACAGCUUCGCUGUACUAGAGCAGCUGACUCUCCUUGCUGCUGUAGAAAUUGGCUAGCCACUUUUAACAACAGCAUGUGCUUGCCUGACACUGAUUUUGUAAUGCACGUAUCACUGCAGUCUAGCUCUUUGCUAUUUUUAUUAGUUUUAUUGGAAAGAACAUUGCCCUCCUGCACAGCUAGGGAUCAAACUGUCCUUCUUGAGCCACACCAUUUAUUAAACAAUUGCUUCACAAGAUUUUCAUCUUUGUACAAUAUACUGAUCUGGUUGUUGACCCUAUGUCAUGUCAAAACAUGAGCUGCACAGAGUGUGAUUUGCUUGGAAUAACAAAUACUUUUGGAGAUGCUUUUUUCAGCAAACUCUUUCAGAUCCUUGGAUAAUUGAUGAAUUAAACCAAAAACACCACUGUACUUCCAGAGGCCUCAUUUCGAAGACUGAGAGGGAGCUAUACAAAUGGAACUAUGUAUCACAUUGCUUUUGGGGUAGUUAUGCUAAUACCUGUAAUAAAAACAUUGUGUUAUUUAACAGUGCAUAACAUUCUGUAGCAACUCUAUUGCCACCAGUUAAUCACAAUAAAAAGAGCUACUUAUUUUCCA